UUGGGACAAGUGGCUUGGAAGACUGUCAGAGUUCUAAUGAAUAGCCAUGCAGCUUUGCUGAAGUGCAAAGUAAGACUGAGUGCUAGAGGUUGGCACUGCCUACAUGCCACAGUGGUAGUGGCAUUGUGAGGGUUUGAAGAUAUCCACUAGAAGCAAAGAAGGACUUCUGAUGGGCCUAGCUGAAAGAACUCCAGCAGGAUGGUGAAAUUCAUCAAAUUUGGGCUCAGAGAACCCUGCAAAAGGGGCAGAAAGAUUCUAAGAGCCAGGAGGGAUGGAGAACUCCAAUGCAACAAGGUCUUCUAGACACAGCAGGACUGAUACGCAUAUGAACUCACAGAGACUGUGGCAGCACUCACAGGGCCUGCACAGGUUCAAGUCAGAUGGGGCCUCAGCACUGAGAGGGGAAAUGGACACAUGCCCCAUCCCUAACCAAGAAGGUAUCUAACUGACAGCAGGAG
rnacentral:lncRNA from 1 species